UACGUAGGUGGCGAGCGUUGUCCGGAAUUACUGGGCGUAAAGAGCGCGCAGGCGGCUGGUCAAGUCCGACGUGAAAUCUCCCGGCUUAACUGGGAAAUUGCAUCGGAAACUGAUCGGCUUGAAGGUGGGAGAGGGUAGCGGAAUUCCCGGUGUAGUGGUGAAAUGCGUAGAUACCGAGAGGAACACCAGUGGCGAAGGCGAGUCCCUGGACACUUCCUGACACUGAGGCACGAAAGCUAGGGGAGCAAACAGG
rnacentral:rRNA from 1 species